AGAGUUUGAUCCUGGCUCAGAUUGAACGCUGGCGGCAUGCCUUACACAUGCAAGUCGAACGGUAACAGGUCUUCGGAUGCUGACGAGUGGCGAACGGGUGAGUAAUACAUCGGAACGUGCCCGAUCGUGGGGGAUAACGAGGCGAAAGCUUUGCUAAUACCGCAUACGAUCUACGGAUGAAAGCGGGGGAUCUUCGGACCUCGCGCGGACGGAGCGGCCGAUGGCAGAUUAGGUAGUUGGUGGGAUAAAAGCUUACCAAGCCGACGAUCUGUAGCUGGUCUGAGAGGAUGAUCAGCCACACUGGGACUGAGACACGGCCCAGACUCCUACGGGAGGCAGCAGUGGGGAAUUUUGGACAAUGGGCGAAAGCCUGAUCCAGCCAUGCCGCGUGCAGGAUGAAGGCCUUCGGGUUGUAAACUGCUUUUGUACGGAACGAAAAGCCUCUUUCUA
rnacentral:rRNA from 1 species